CUAAAACCUAAAGUGAAGCAUCAAAAUGAACUUAACUCAAGAAAAUAGGACCAAAAUCAAACUAUACCACUUAUUUGGGGUUCCCCCAAGCUUAUUCAACAAACAAAACCAAACUAAACAUCUUUUUCACUUUUCUCUUUUUUGUGUUUCAAGUGAAACUUUUCUAUCUGCCUUAUUUUUCUCUAUUUUUGAGUUGCUUCACUAUUUUAAUUUCUAUAUAUCACAUAUCAAUUUUUUGGUUUGCUUCACUAUUUUAACUUCUGUCAUAUAUUGCUAAUUCAAGUUUUUCCAUGUCAAUUUCUAAUCCACUCAACUCAAAGCCACCAAAUUUGACUUUUUUGUUUGCCUCAAUUUUUUGGGUAACUUUUUGGGUUGCUUCACUAUUUUAAUUGGUUUGCUUCACUAUUUUAAUUUCUGUCAUACAUUACUAAUUCAAGUUUUUCCAUGUCAAUUUCUAAUGUCAUCAUCUGCCUUUAAGUUUUCCAUGUUAUACUGCAUUCUUAAUACAAAAAGAAAAUUGAAUGGGUCUUUUUAGUUUCUUUGUUUCGGUGUAUACUGCUUACAGAGUAUUUGCUAUUUCAUUUAUUUUAGUUUUCGAUUGUAGAUAAUCGGUUGUUGGGACGAUAAUUAGAAAAGUGGUGAACUUCUUCUUCUAUGUUGUUACUACUCUAGUUUUUGAUUGUCAAUAGUUCGUUGUUGGGACGAUAGUUGAAGCAACUGGUGCUUGAAGCGAGUAUACAGAGCAAGCAUGAGGCUGAUAUGCGAAGAGAGAGAGCAUUAUCUUACGCAUUCACUCAUCAGUUGGACUGGCAAAUGCAAUGAUGAAACACUACAAGAGUAUGGACGGAUUGGAGGAUGUUGUUGACAUUGUCGGUACCUGUAAAUAUCUCUACAUGUGCCUCUAUAUUGGUCGCUGCUUGUGGUGCCAAAGUAGCCCAGGUUGUAGCUCUGUCUUUGUUUCCCAAUUGGUGUGUUGUGUGUGGGGCGGCGGGGUUUUAAUGUCAAAUUGAAUCUGAAUAUCCGCUAAUUAUGUACAAAUUACAGGGGCUUGUCUAAUCCGCAGUGUGUUCAUGGUAUUGAAUGUCAGUUGGCUCACCUAAUUUUACAGGCUUAGAUGAAUGUGAGAGGAAAAGGUGGUUGGAGCUUACAGGGCGAGAUACAAAAUUCUCAAUACCUGAGGAAGCAAGUGAUUUUGGUUCUUGGAGGAAUCUUCCACCAAUGGAGUUUGAGCUAGAACUCCCUAAUGUUUUGACAAAGGGUACUCAAAGAAAGGUGAUUCCUGAUACAUGACUGAAUUUUCAACUCAGACAUUGAGGAAUGGUCUCAGGAACGGGGUGGAUCUCUCUCAUGUUGCUAAGAAACAAAAGAAAGACUUUUACUCUAAUGGUUGCAUUGACAAUGGCUUUCUACAAAUUAACUCACAUUCUACAAUAUGGUCUAAUGAGCUUAGCGGUGUGAUGAAGAAUGUCUAUGUUCCUGUCACAGCUGCAAAAAGUAUAUACAAUGAUGAAAAGGGGUUCUUGAUUAUUGUUAGCCUACUCUUUGCUGAUCCUCAAAGGAUGAGAGUUACAUGAAAUGGUAAAAGUAGCUUGUGUUAGCACAGCUUGCUCACCCCUGUGUGUGACUUUUGGAUGGUUAAGAAUGUACAUAUUGAACAAUGCACAUUAUCAAUUAUAAUAUAGGAUUAUUGUUAGCAUUGUUCAAUAUGUACAUUUGUUUUGUUUCUUGACAAGGUUGACUUUUGGGAUAGUUAAGAACUAGUAUGAUACCCGUGCGAUGCACGACUUACGAAAUCUUAUUAUUAAACUUGCACUACUCUUGAACAAUUAGGAUUUAUUAACAAACUCGUCGUGAUAUAAAAUUUAUAGUCAUAAACUUAGUACAUAACACAUACCUUAUACGGUAAAUAAAAUGAAAUCUAAUAACAAAGAAGCUAAAUGUCUUUUUGGACAGAAAAUGAUACUUCGUACAACACAUUUAUUAUUCCGUAUCAUAUUGGAUCACCUUCAUAUAAUAUAUACGUAGUAGAAUAAUUUCAUAAUGUUAAAAUAAGAAGUGGAGAUAUAAUCAAAUAAAUAAAAGUGAAAAUAUAUUGAAUAUUAAAAUAAACAAAGUGGAAAUAUAUUGAAUAUAAAAAUAAAAAAAGUCAACCAUGUUUUACCAAUUAGUCAUUGUUAUUAUUACCAAGUAAUAUAACUUACCGUAUUAUCAUUUCAUUAUUUUAUUUUUUAAAAAAAAAGAAAAAUAAAGAAGGGAAAGUGGAUACUUUGUUUACCACCGACAACUUUGUUUAUACUACUUAAUCAACUACCAUUAUUGUAAUAAUAAUAAUAAUCCCGUCAAAAAUAAAAUAAAAUAAUAAUAAUGUCUUAAAAAUUAGAAAGUGGCUACUACUUGUAGCCCCAACAUCGGCUCCUCGGCUCCUCCGCCCUUAACUUUCUAGAUGCAUCCUAUCUUCUACAACUCCAUAAGUUAUCAAUAUCCAUCCACAAACCAUGAUUUCAUCAUUUUGCAAGAAUUUUUAUUGCUUAAACCUAGAUUUCAUCAUUUUAAUAUCCAUAUCAUCCCAGCUUCACAAAAUAAUCGAUGCCGAAGUUAGACCCAAAUCAAUUCAAAUAGGAGAGAGAGUGUAGCUUAAAUCAAUCGACAAUGGCGGUAAUAGCUGGGUCUAUUUUCGACACGGAGAAGUUAAAAGUGAAUUGUCCUUCCUACUUUAAAAUCGGUGCAUGCAGACAUGGCGACCAAUGUUCCAGGCUUCACACAAAAUAAUCGAUGCUGAAUUUGAUUGAAGAUCAGUGAAGGGGAGAUCUUGUCCGUUUUUUCUUGUUGCCGUGAAAAGUAAGCCGUGCGCAGUCGUAGCCAGUCAGCCAACCAGCCAGCCAGGUGACCAAGUUGCUCACAUCAAUCUCAAAGUCCAAGGGUCAGGGUCAGGUCCAAGAACUUGCGUAUUCGAUCUAUAUAUUUUACUUAUUUGAAA